AAGUCGUAACAAGGUUUCCGUAGGUGAACCUGCGGAAGGAUCAUUAAAGUAUUCUUCUCGGGAGGGAGGCCAGCCCUGCUCCGGUCCCCAAAAGGGGCCGUGCAGCGGGCGAGCCGACCGACCGACCGAAAACCCCCACAAACCCCCCGUGCACUUUCCGACGGUGGAGGGAGACUGGGCGAGAGCUCGGGAUCCUGAACCCGUCGACACACAAACCCCUCUGUCAAAGAAUGAUGUUGCGAACCUUGCGUCGCCUAACUUAACGAAACAACUUUCAACAACGGAUCUCUUGGCUCUC
rnacentral:misc_RNA from 1 species